UACGGAGGGAGCUAGCGUUGUUCGGAAUUACUGGGCGUAAAGCGCACGUAGGCGGUUUUUCAAGUCAGGGGUGAAAGCCCGGAGCUCAACUCCGGAACUGCCUCUGAAACUGGAUGACUAGAAUCUUGGAGAGGUGAGUGGAAUUCCGAGUGUAGAGGUGAAAUUCGUAGAUAUUCGGAAGAACACCAGUGGCGAAGGCGACUCACUGGACAAGUAUUGACGCUGAGGUACGAAAGCGUGGGGAGCAAACAGG
rnacentral:rRNA from 1 species